rnacentral:rRNA from 1 species
CAUCCUCCAAGGCUAAAUACUCCUGACUGACCGAUAGUGAACCAGUACCGUGAGGGAAAGGCGAAAAGAACCCCGGCGAGGGGAGUGAAAAAGAACCUGAAACCGUGUACGUACAAGCAGUGGGAGCACCUUCGGGUGUGACUGCGUACCUUUUGUAUAAUGGGUCAGCGACUUAUAUUCUGUAGCAAGGUUAACCGUAUAGGGGAGCCGGAGGGAAACCGAGUCUUAAUUGGGCGUUAAGUUGCAGGGUAUAGACCCGAAACCCGGUGAUCUAGCCAUGGGCAGGUUGAAGGUUGGGUAACACUAACUGGAGGACCGAACCGAC